rnacentral:rRNA from 1 species
UACAUGGGGUGCAAACGUUGCUCGGAAUCAUUGGGCGUAAAGCGCGCGUAGGCGGUUACUUCAGUCGAAUGUGAAAGCCCUCGGCUUAACCGAGGAAGUGCAUCCGAAACUGAGUAGCUAGAGUACGAAAGAGGGUCGCGGAAUUCCCGGUGUAGAGGUGAAAUUCGUAGAUAUCGGGAGGAACACCGGUGGCGAAGGCGGCGACCUGGGUCGAGACUGACGCUGAGGCGCGAAAGCGUGGGGAGCAAACAGG